rnacentral:rRNA from 1 species
GAUGAACGCUGGCGGCGUGCCUAAUACAUGCAAGUCGAACGCUGGAAAUCUAGCUUGCUAGAUUGAAGGAGUGGCGAACGGGUGAGUAAUACAUAAGCAACCUACCCACGAAGACUGGGAUAAUCUCUGGAAACGGGGACUAAUACCGGAUAGGUAAUCGGAAGGCAUCUUCUGAUUAUUAAAGGUUAAAAACACUGGUGAAUGGGCUUAUGGCGCAUUAGUUAGUUGGUGAGGUAACGGCCCACCAAGACGAUGAUGCGUAGCCGGCCUGAGAGGGUGAACGGCCACAUUGGGACUGAGACACGGCCCAGACUACUACGUGAGGCAGCAGUAGGGAAUUUGCGGCAAUGGGGGAAACCCUGACCGAGCAACGCCGCGUGAGUGAUCACGGCCUUCGGGUUGUAAAGCUCUGUUGUAAGGGAAGAACGGUAGAUAGAGAAUAUCUAAAUGACGGUACCUUACCAGAAAGCCACGGCUAACUACGUG